GCUCAUUUGGGCUGCACGUAUACUAAGAUCAGAAUGAUACAGAAAAGAUAAUCAUGGUCCCUGUGCAGGAUGACAUGCAGAUUCAUGAAGUGUUCCAUUUUAAU